UACGUAGGGUGCGAGCGUUAAUCGGAAUUACUGGGCGUAAAGCGUGCGCAGGCGGUUUUGUAAGCCAGAUGUGAAAUCCCCGGGCUUAACCUGGGAAUGGCAUUUGGGACUGCAAGGCUUGAGUUGGCAGAGGAGAACUGGAAUUCCUGGUGUAGCAGUGAAAUGCGUAGAUAUCAGGAGGAAUACCGAUGGCGAAGGCAGGUCUCUGGGCUAGAACUGGACGCUCAUGCACGAAAGGCGUGGGG
rnacentral:rRNA from 1 species